UACGGAGGGUGCGAGCGUUGUCCGGAAUCAUUGGGCGUAAAGGGCGCGUAGGUGGCGGGACAAGCGUGCGGUGAAAGCUCGGGGCUCAACCCCGGGUCGGCCGUGCGAACUGGGCUCACUGGAGCAUAGUAGAGGCAGGUGGAAUUCCGGGUGUAGCGGUGGAAUGCGUAGAGAUCCGGAAGAACACCGGUGGCGAAGGCGGCCUGCUGGGCUGAUGGCUGACACUGAGGCGCGACAGCGUGGGGAGCAAACAGG
rnacentral:rRNA from 1 species